rnacentral:lncRNA from 1 species
CAAGGUGCUGCACCUUUGCUUUUGGCAGCUGCAAAGCGUUAAAGGUGUUGUUCUUGCUGGCCAAUCAGUGGAUAAUGGCAUAAUAUGAGCUGCCAUCUGGGGGAGGAGGGAGGUGUGUUAGUUAGGGGGAGGUGCUGGGGCAGCCUAAAGGUUCAGUGUGCAGCUGGGGUUUCUCAGUGGGAUGCUGGGUGCUUGGCUGGGGUGGCCACACACACGGUGCUGCCCUGAAGCUCUGGGGCCCAGCGGUGGGAGAAGUGGUUGUUGGUGCUCUCAGGAUAUGGUCACGGGCCGGGCAGACCCAUCCCUGCCUGUGUUGCUUGUGGUUUGACGUGUGGGUAAUGGUAUUCUUGCUCUAAAGUCGGAGCCCUCGCUGUGUUUCAGGCAAGAGGAAACGUGGAGCAGGGAGCGCUGAUGGCAUCAUUAGAGGCUGGGAGUGAAAUGUGAAGAGGUUAGGUUUUACCAUCCUGUUCCAUACCC